rnacentral:rRNA from 1 species
GAUGAACGCUGGCGGCGUGCCUAAUACAUGCAAGUCGAGCGAACAGACGAGGAGCUUGCUCCUCUGACGUUAGCGGCGGACGGGUGAGUAACACGUGGAUAACCUACCUAUAAGACUGGGAUAACUUCGGGAAACCGGAGCUAAUACCGGAUAAUAUAUUGAACCGCAUGGUUCAAUAGUGAAAGACGGUUUGCUGUCACUUAUUGAUGGAUCCGCGCCGCAUUAGCUAGUUGGUAAGGUAACGGCUUACCAAGGCAACGAUGCGUAGCCGACCUGAGAGGGUGAUCGGCCACACUGGAACUGAGACACGGUCCAGACUCCUACGGGAGGCAGCAGUAGGGAAUCUUCCGCAAUGGGCGAAAGCCUGACGGAGCAACGCCGCGUGAGUGAUGAAGGUCUUCGGAUCGUAAAACUCUGUUAUUAGGGAAGAACAAAUGUGUAAGUAACUAUGCACGUCUUGACGGUACCUAAUCAGAAAGCCACGGCUAACUACGUG